rnacentral:rRNA from 1 species
CACUCCUGCGGGAGGCAGCAGUGAGGAAUAUUGGACAAUGGGUGGAAGCCUGAUCCAGCCAUCCCGCGUGCAGGAAGACGGCCCUAUGGGUUGUAAACUGCUUUUAUCUGGGGAUAAACCUACUUACGUGUAAGUAGCUGAAGGUACCAGAAGAAUAAGCACCGGCUAACUCCGUGCCAGCAGCCGCGGUAAUACGGAGGGUGCAAGCGUUAUCCGGAUUUAUUGGGUUUAAAGGGUCCGUAGGCGGACUGAUAAGUCAGUGGUGAAAUCCGACAGCUUAACUGUCGAACUGCCAUUGAUACUGUUAGUCUUGAGUAAGGUUGAAGUGGCUGGAAUAAGUAGUGUAGCGGUGAAAUGCAUAGAUAUUACUUAGAACACCAAUUGCGAAGGCAGGUCACUAAGUCUUAACUGACGCUGAUGGACGAAAGCGUGGGGAGCGAACAGGAUUAGAAACCCCGGUAGUCCCAUGA